rnacentral:rRNA from 1 species
AAGCCAGGCAACCCCUGAAAUCCAUUACCAGGAAAAAAGAAAUAAGAAGUUAAACCUAUUUUGUUGGUUUCUAGGAUUGACGUAAUGAUUAAUAGGGAUAGUUGGGGGCAUUAGUAUUCAAUUGUCAAAGGUGAAAUUCUUGGAUUUAUUGAAAACUGACUACUGCGAAAGCAUUUGCCAAGGAUGUUUUCAUUAAUCAAGAACGAAAGUUAGGGGAUCGAAAACGAUCAAAUACCGUCGUAAUCUUAACCAUAAACUAUGCCGACUAGGGAUCGGAAGAAGUUAAUUUUUUAGAGACACACUCCGCCCCAUAGG